CAAUGGGGAGGGGAGUUUGCCCACAUUCUGUCCCCCUGGAUCUGCCUUUCUUUCCCACCCAGGAUCCCCUCCACCGACUGAUGAAUACGCACGGGACAGAGGUUCGGGUGUCCCCCCAGAGGAAGAAAGCUGUUCGACUGAGAUUGAGGAAAGGUAACAGGAGUUUGCACAGGAAUUUGGAGGACUGACUGCUGCUCCUCUGGCGGGUUUGUUGGGUAGAUCCUCUGGGUUUUGGAGGGUUUCCUGGGCACUUGGCGUAUUGCUGGUUUCGCCACUAGAGGGUGGCUGCUUUCUAAGGUAGCCUGAGCACAUGGACUGACAGAGGAGAGGCCUGAGCACCUUUUUAUUUUAUUUAUGUGUUAUACCCACAGAUUUCAGGGUGGGUCACAAUAGAACCAAUACAAAGGUAGAUCAAAUAAAUUACUUAAAAUGGCGAUAAUGUCUGCA
rnacentral:lncRNA from 1 species